rnacentral:rRNA from 1 species
GCAUAACGCGAAGAACCUUACCAGGCCUUGACAUGCAAUAGACCGCACCUGAAAAGGUGCUUUCCUUCGGGACUGUUGCACAGGUGCUGCAUGGCUGUCGUCAGCUCGUGUCGUGAGAUGUUGCGUUAAGUCGCGCAACGAGCGCAACCCCUGUCCUUAGUUGCCAUCAUUUAGUUGGGCACUCUAAGGAGACAAACCCUCUUUGAGGGUGGGAAGGUGGGGAUGACGUCAAGUCAGGAUGGCCCUUACGGCCUGGGCUGCACACGUACUACAAUGCUCGGCACAGAGGGAGGCAAUACCGUGAGGUGGAGCAAAUCCUCAAAACCGAGCCCAGUUCAGAUUGUAGUCUGCAACUCGACUACAUGAAGUUGGAAUCGCUAGUAAUGGCGCAUCAGCUACGGCGCCGUGAAUACGUUCCCGGGUCUUGUACACACCG